CGGAGAGGUGCGUGGGGAGGGCCCGGGGGAGCCGCAGAGGGCUCGGGGCUUUCCCCCGGGCCCGAGCAGGAGCGGGGCUGCGCCGGGGGUUGGGCCCGGGCCCGGGCCCUUGCUGGAACAUUGACCUCCAUCCUGAAGAAGACAUCACUUCCACGAUACUUUGACAUAGUCCCCUGGAAAUGAAGCAAGAGUCUAUUAGAAAUGCUGCUUACACAGUGGACUGUGAAGGCGGCAGAACGCUGAGGACCAGAGCUGAUGCAAUAGAAGGUGUUUGGAGCAAAUUUGCCAAUGACACUAAACUUAGAGGAGCUGUGGACUCUGUUGAGGGUGGAAAGGCUGUGCAGAGAGAUCUGGACACAUUGGAGAGCUGGGCAAUCACCAACCAGGGGAAGUUUAACAAGAGCAAGUACCGGCAAAGUACCAGCAAGUACCCUCCUUUAUCCAGAAGUCUUUUGAGAGCUUCAGUAUUCAGCCCCCAAGGAACGGGAAAGAUGCUGGUUGUUCGUGCUCUUGCUAACGAAUGUGGCCGAGGUGAGAGAAAAAUAUCAUUUUUGAUGAGAAAAGCUUUGGACUGCCUGAGCCAAUGAGUGGGGGAAUCAGAAUGUCAGCUUUGCUCAUUAUUUGAACAGGUGACGCUUUGAAGUGGAUAGUUUGAAGUGGAUAGCAGAACGAUAAACAAGAGGAAUGCAGUGGUCAUGACAAGGACUUGUAAUUUGUUGGCGGAACGCUGAGGACCAGAGCUGAUGCAAUAGCUGCAAGGCAAGUGCGUGGAGAAAAUGGGAAUUUGGAGCCGAAGCUGCAGACUUUGAGGAAGUCGCUACCCUACUACAAAUCCAUCCUUUCUGUUUGACAGCCUUAGAAGAAAUGCCAUUGUCUCAACACUUCUGGAUGGCAUAGACAACAGAGGGGAGAUUGUGGUAAUCGGAGCCACCAACAGACCAGGUUCUAUAGAUCCUGCUUUACGGAGACCAGGACACCUUGACAGAGAGUUCCUCUUCAACUUGCGAAAUAAAGAGGAAAUGUAAAUCCUAUUUUACAAGCUGAUAUACUUGACAGUGAUGAUGACGCAUCCUUAAUGUCUGGAGAUGAACUACCAGGAGUGCUUACUAGAAACCGACAUCAUGUGAGCCUCAUCUGCUAAUAACAGGAAAAGAGGGAUAUGGCCAGGUUUCUUAUUUGGCACCCGCGGUGUUGCAUGCUUGGGAGAAGUCUCCAUUCACACCCUGACCCUAUCCAUUCUGUUCACAAACGUUGCACCGCCAGAAGAAAUAUGGGGAGAGGUCUCUUUUUUCUUUUUAUUCUCAUAGGAUUCGUUGACUGUAUGUAGAGGAUCAAUUGAGUUGCAAGUAAGAUUCUUACAAGCUUCAAAUGGCUCCUACUGGGCAUUCCCAGGUAGAACAGCACCAGAUGAGUGUUGAGACCACCGUGGAAGCUUCUACAGAGCCAGACAAUGUAGUUAUUGUGGAGCACUAUGAGCUCAAAGUAUGUCAAAUUCCAACUUUUUUAAAUGCUCAAAUAGGACAUAUUCUUGUGACCUGUACAAUUACAACUUAAGUCAGUUGUUAAGCAAUGCCAAUUAAAACAAUUAAUUGGAAGGACAUACAGAUUGUGAAGUAAUUCAACCUAUAAUGCACUGUGGCUGUUUAGUUUCCACACCUUGUGUAGAUUUCUGUAGGCCACCGUUUGCUUUUGGUCAACUGUAGUUGAGGAGACAGAUUCCUUGCCUAAUUUUUAAGGUAAAAGGCCUUGUUGAAUUUUAAAAUACCUCACUGAUGACCUGCUAGUACUAUUGGUUAUGAUUGUUGUUUUAACAAUUUUUAUGAUGGGCUUUUAUUUGGGGAUGUUUAUUAUGAGUUGUUGUUUUUCUGUUUGUUUGUUUGUUUGUUUGUUUUUUAUGCUUUGAUGUAUUAGGAACAUGAAAAGGAUCUUUAUUUCUUUCAGAGAUGAUUUUAAACCUGAAGUUAGCAGGUUGACAUAAACAGGGUAGCCAUGGAUAAGUGACUACUUUUCUGAAAUUGCUUCCAAAUGCAGUAUUAGAAUUUCCCAUCCAUACUAUUGCAGUGUACUGAGGGUUUGCCAGUCUCUCCUGGGAGGAAAGUGGUUAUCCUAGGCUCCAGCGGGGGAAGUGGGUAAGACUGGCACUAGGUACGUGAAGAAGAACGUUCCUUUGCAGGAGUUGGAGAGGGCAUAAGUAAGGACCGUCUUGAGGGGAGAGCAGAAUGAGGGAAAUUAGAAUGAGGCAAUUCGAAUUGAGG